rnacentral:rRNA from 1 species
UACGGGGGGGGCAAGCGUUGUUCGGAAUUACUGGGCGUAAAGGGCCUGUAGGCGGCCAAGUAAGUCCGACGUGAAAUCCCAAGGCUUAACCUUGGAACUGCGUCGGAUACUGGAUGGCUUGAAUUCGGGAGAGGGAUGCAGAAUUCCAGGUGUAGCGGUGAAAUGCGUAGAUAUCUGGAGGAAUACCGGUGGCGAAGGCGGCAUCCUGGACCGACAUUGACGCUGAAAGGCGAAAGCUAGGGGAGCAAACGGG